AAAAAAAAAAUCUCCAAAAAAAAAUAAAUCCUGACAUCGCUACCGUGACUUUUCCUCGGAAUGGGGAAUUCCGGGAAAUUGGGAUAAAAUCAAGGAAAAUCCAAUUUUUCCCACCAAAAUCCAUCUGGGAAUGAGGAAAUUCCCACUUUUCCUGCUUUUCCCACUUUUCCGUUGCAGGUGGAAGAGGAAAUGCUGUUUUCCCUCAGAAUUUGGCUCCCAAAACUGGGAUUAAUUUGCUUUUUUUCCGUUGUUUUUUUUCCUUGCCAAUCAUUGAUUUUAUUCAUUUAUUUUUUCCUUUUUUCCCCCAUGAAAAUUCCAAUCGAAUCCCAGCAUUUUUCCUGAUUUUUCUCUCCAGAAUCAGCCCUUUCCCCCCCCUUUUUUUUUUUUUGGGAAUGUGUAGUCCAUGAUUUCCUCCAGCACGGGGAUUUUUUGGGAAGAAUUCCAUGAUUUUUUUUUUUUAGGCUUUUCCUGGAAUUCCUGGAUUUUUCCCAGCUCUGGGAAUUCCCAGGGACCGUUCCCACACCUGGAUUUGGGAAUUUCGUCGGGAUUUGAUCCCAAAUUUCAGAAUUCUGACAUUGCUCUGGGAGUUCCCCUCAAAAAAAUCCUGGAAUUCUGAGUUUUUCCAGGAAUGGGAAUCAACCCUUGGAGAGCCAAAGGAAUUUUUGGGAUUGGGAACCUCUGGAAUAUUUCUCCCGUGCCUGGAGCCAGGUGGGGACAGGGAAGCCGAGCGUUAUCCCGGAAUUCCUGAGGAAUUUUUGGGACUGGGACUGCAAAUCCAAUGAAUUCCCAAAUCCUGAUCCUCCUUUCCUUGAUUUUUCCCCAUUCCUUUCCUGUUGCUCUGCGAUAUUCCCGAUUUUUCCGGCGUUUUUUCCGUUGGCUUCGUGCAUGCGCCUUUUCCAGCAUGAUUUGAGAUCCCAAAAAUCAGCCUGGAUUUUGGGAAUGUGCAGUGGAAAUUUGGGAAUUCCGUGUGGGAAUCCUGCAUCCAAAGGGAAAUCCCAAAUCCCCGUGGGAUUGUGGGAUUGGGACACCAGGGAGGGGCGGGGGGAGAAUUUUGGAAUAAUCCUAAAAUUCUGGGAUUCCAAAUCCUCCCAAAUCCUGGGAAUUAGUGGGGCUGGGAGUGAGGAUUUCCCUAAAUCUCAGGGAUCCAGAUAAUCCCAAAUCCUGGGAAUCUGGAAAAUCCCAAAUCCUGGGAAUUUGGAGGGACUGGGAGAUCCCUCUGGGAAUGUCAGUGCUGGAAUUCCAGCACCCAAAUGGGAUUUGGGGGGUGGAAAUAAAAUCCAGUGGGAAGGAAAAAGUGCUGGGAUCCUGCUCUGCUGGGGGAGGGAUGGAAAAAUCCCAAAUUUCCAGGAUCUGGGAAGAGGGAGGGGAAAAGGGACAGGGAAAAGGGAAGGAUGGGAAGGGGGGAGAGUAGGAAAAGGGAAGGGCAGGAAUUUGAUCUUAUUAAACAAACACCAACAUCAGCUCCAUUUUCCUCCUUUUUCCCCAAACUUUUUAUUUUUCAUCCCAAACUUUCCCAACCCUUUUUCCUUUGAUCCUGACCCUUUCCCAGCCGGCCUGGCUGGCUCCAGAAUGGGCAAAGUGAAAAGUUGGGAAGAGGGAAAAUUUGGGAAGAGGGAAAAGCAGGAAUUUGAUCCCUCUAAAAAAACCACCAACUUCAGCUCCAUUUUCGUCCUCCUUUCCUGACUUCCUUUCUUCCUUUUUCCCCAAACUUUUUAUUUUUCAACCCAACCUUCCCAACCCUUUACCAGACAGUCCAUGAUUGGAAGAGGGAAAAACAGGGAAGAGGGAGGAGCAGGGAAAAGGAAAGAUCAGGAAAUUCCUCCUACUAAAAACCACCAACAUCACCUCAAUUUUUUAACUCCAUUUUUCUCCUUUUUCCUCAAACU